rfam:Oryzias latipes DNA, chromosome5, strain: Hd-rR.
GUAGGUUAUGGAGAUAUUUACCCCAAAACUCUUCUGGGUAAAAUAGUUGGGGGCUUAUGUUGCAUUGCAGGAGUGUUGGUAAUAGCUUUGCCCAUCCCAAUCAUUGUAAAUAAC